CCAGCUCAAAAAACAAAACAAAACAAAAAAACAAAACAAAAAAACGCCAAAAAACAAAAAACAACAACAAAAAAACCACCACCAAGAUUUACACAAUACUUAGGUCUUCAAGUAUCUGUUUACAUGAACUGACUCACUUGGGUCGAAGAUGGUUGGUGUAUGGGGACAGGGACUCUAAGUAUCCCCAUCUGGAUUCCAGGCACAGAAAGGCACAUCAGGUGCACUGGAAGGGGGGAGGGGGGAGAGUGGGGGUAGCUGGCAGAGGACAAAUCAUAAGAACUUUGGAGCCUCUGGGAGAAAACGCCCCACAAAGGAGACUGGCAAGAUGAGGUACAUCCAACAACAGUGUCUGGCAGUCAAAGGAGGGCAGGGAUCUAGGUACUGCAAGGCAGAUGGUUUGGAGGAACCCUCAGAACCCAGUGGAUGGCAGGUUGCACGCUGGGCUCUGAGGGUGGAGCUGAAGAUCCACCAUUAUGCUGUCAGUCACUAUGACAGCCUCCUAGCCAGCAGGGAGGAAGCAUUCCUCUUCUGAACCUCCCAGAAGGCAGCCACGUGGCACCACCUGCACUGCCUGCAGCUUCUGUUGCACCUGGGGCAGAGCUACGCUUGGCUGCUGACACCUAUGAGAAGGCAGGCAUGGUGGACCUUCCGCAAAGCUGAAGGCCUGAAUAGAACAAAAAGGCUCACCGUCCCAUGAAUAGAGAGAACUCCUCCUGCCUGACUGCUGUGAGCUGGGACAUCCAUUGUUUUCUGUUUUUUGGAUUUGAACUGAAACAUCAGCUCUUCCUUGAUCCUGAACCUGCUGGCUUUCUGACCGGAACUUGCACCAACAGCUCUCCUAGUUCUCAGGCCUUUGGACUUGGACUGGAAUUACACCAUCAAAUCUCCUGGGUCUCCAGCUUGCCAUCUGCAGAUCUUGGAACUUCUUAACCUCCACAUCCUGUGAGCCAAUUCCUU
rnacentral:lncRNA from 10 species